rnacentral:rRNA from 1 species
GACGAACGCUGGCGGCGUGCCUAAUACAUGCAAGUCGAGCGAAUUGAUGGGAGCUUGCUCCCUGAGAUUAGCGGCGGACGGGUGAGUAACACGUGGGUAACCUGCCUGUAAGACUGGGAUAACUUCGGGAAACCGGAGCUAAUACCGGAUACUUUCUUUUCUCGCAUGAGAAGAGAUGGAAAGAUGGUUCUGCUAUCACUUACAGAUGGACCCGCGGCGCAUUAGCUAGUUGGUGAGGUAACGGCUCACCAAGGCGACGAUGCGUAGCCGACCUGAGAGGGUGAUCGGCCACACUGGGACUGAGACACGGCCCAGACUCCUACGGGAGGCAGCAGUAGGGAAUCUUCCGCAAUGGACGAAAGUCUGACGGAGCAACGCCGCGUGAGCGAAGAAGGCCUUCGGGUCGUAAAGCUCUGUUGUUAGGGAAGAACAAGUACGAGAGUAACUGCUCGUACCUUGACGGUACCUAACCAGAAAGCCACGGCUAACUACGUGCCAGCCGCCGCUGUAA